UCUCCAGAAUUUGGCAACUGUUUGAAUUAAACUUGUUUUAUGGAGCCAGUAAAAGCCACAUGCUCUGUCUACACAGUCGCUGAACAGGGUUCCUGCCCUGUGGUAAGUAAAGAAUGUCACUUUCCGACAGGCCCAGGAGCCCCAAGUUUUACCUUGGACCCUCAAAAGGAGAGGAAUUCAUGCAACUCAUAGGUAUUUGAUGGUACAAAUCCAUGGCAGGGCUCAGCUUUAAACAAGUCUUUUCUGAGAUUCCUUCUAUGGAACAAAGUUUCAUCAAAGCCAAUUUAAAAGCCUGUGUAAAAAAAUAAUUAUUCUAGCUGCACUGUAUACAAAUAAUCAGGCCAAGAAUAAUAAAGGAAAUCAGUCCUACCAUGAUUUGUCUUUAGUAAAAAUGAGAAACUGGAGAGAGAAAAACUAUGUUUUAAGAACUAUAGUACACCUGUUGUUAGAUUCUAGUCUUGCCUAAUGUUUUUCCAUUUUUAUUAUUUUCUGCAGUUUGGACCAAAUUCUAAUUUUUCUUGGCUACAAGUCUUCAAAAUAAUGUUUUCCAUUUUUUCCCUUUCUUUUUUCCCAUUUUUCCUAAUUUGGAGUUACUGAAAGCUAAGCUGUGCUUUUUGAAGCCCUGUGAACUGAAGCUAGACAACUUAAACUUCAGAAGAAAAUAACAGCAGCCUAUUUACAUAUAUAAGCUACUUUCAUACCUGCCUACUGACGUAUGGACUUCAGAGUAAUGUGGCCUAUAUCGAUUUUCUAGGAUCGUUAUUUUGUUUGUUGUUUUUCUCCCUUCCUCCCCCUAUUUUCUCUUCACAGGACAUGAGGAUUCUCAACCUGCUAAUAAUGAGCUACCUAUCUAGGGUAGCUAUUGGGACCUACCUAUCUAGGAAUAAACCAUCCUAGCCAUGAGAGACCCGAUGAAACCUCAGACCAGAGACUCAUUUUCUUCUAAAAUGCUUUCUCCAAAAGAUUUUUAAAAAGAAAAGGGGGAAAUGUGAAAGGAAACUGUCUUGGGCCCCCCAAAAUCAUGAAGCUAAAGAGAAAAGUCAAGCUGGGAACGGCUUAGGGCAAACCUGUCUCCCGUUCUAUUCAAAGUCACCCCUCUGCUUACUGAGAUAGAUGCAUAUCUAAUUGCCUCCUUUGGAGAGGCUUAUCAGAAACUCAAAAGAAUGCAACCAUUUGUCUCUCACCCACCUGUGACCUGGAAGCCCCCUCCCUGCUUGAGUUGUCCCACCUUACCAGACUGAACCAAUGUUCGUCUUACAUAUGUUGAUUGAUGUCUCAUGUCUCCCUCAAACGUGUAAAACCAAACUAUGCUCUGACCACCUCGGCACAUGUCACCAGGACCUUCUGAGGCUGUGUCAUGGACGCGAGUCCUCAAACUUCGCAAAAUAAACUCUCUAAAUGAACUGAGACCUGUCUGAGAUAUUCGGGGUUCACAGUUUGCUGUCUCUCUUCACUAGGAGAGUUGUUCCGUGAAGGCCGGGAUCUCUUUUACUGAGUGAUGUAUUCCAAGUGCCUGGAGCAAUGUCUGGCAUGUAGAAGGAAUUCCGUACGUGCAUUAAAUUAAUGAACUAGCCUCC
rnacentral:lncRNA from 1 species